ACAACAAUAGAACACCAAGCCAAGCCCCCCGUCAGCCUUAUCCCCUCAUUCCACCUCCGGUCAAAACGCAAAAGGCAAAAAGAAACUCGUCUCUCUCUCUCUCUCAACACAUCUCUGAUUUCUCCGCCAGCUUGCUGCCUCCGGAUCAGAGCCUCAGAGGCCAUCGCCUGAGUGCUGUGGAGAGGAUCUGUGGAUGUGUGUGCUCCAUGUUUGGUAGCUGCGCUGGAAGUUUUGCGACAGCGAGCAGGACGGCGGCGGCCGGCGGCGGCCAGGACUCCUGGGAACCUCAACAACUGGCCCCUCCCCCACGCGAUCCGCCCCUGCGGUCUGCGGAUGCCUCAAUGGCUCGACGCUCGCGCAGGUCCGGAGCAAAGGAGUUGUGGAAGAGAUGUUACGUCCAUAGCGGUUGCAACAGUGGAGGAGCAGGAAAACAUAGAGGACGGCCGGCAAAAGGAGGAUGCAACCGGGGUGGUAGUGAUAGCUGGUUCUCGUUUUUUUUUUUUUUGCUGAAAUGGUUCUCAUGCGGGAAUAGAUGCUCCAGUAGUUUCUCACUACCUCUACCUUUCCCCACUUAUUGAUAAUAUUUGACUCCAACUCUCUCCAUAUAAAUGGAGAUCAGUUUCCACCCUCUCAAUAAAGUAGUUAUAUUAGGAUUAGACUAUUGGGAACUGUAACUAAAAUCAACUCCCUCAAUAAAUCAUAAAAUUAAGUGGUAUUGGAACAAUCCAAUAACAUUUUGUUGGAAAAAAAAUGUUUAUUGCGAAGCUA